UUCCACUAAAGUUUGUGGGACUUUGCUCUAUGUAAACUGGUUGCUUCAUUUACUACAUUGUAAUAGUAACUAUACUUCAAAAGUCCUUUGUUGGCUCUAAGCAUUUGAGGACAUUGUGAGAACAAGAAACAUCAACGUUGGAAACACUACGACAGAGCAACCCCAUGGAAGAUACCAUGUGGAGCAGAAGGAAGGCAUGAUGCCCCAGGCAUUGUCUUAAUGCAGGUCAGUGUAGGAGCAGGGAUUAUCAAAUUAAGGGCAGUUCUUCAGUGGCGAGGUCUUAUGGCUACUUUAUAAUAGAUCGAUGCUGCCAAUUCAUCUUAUCAGUGAUUUUGAACAACCAUCCCUCACAGUACAGCAGUGGAGUUUUUUAUUGUCUGCUGACAAAUGGAUCUUGAAUGUCAAAGAACAAAAAAGGUAUCUACUUGGAUCUUUUCCUCGAGGGAAUCAAUACAUUUUCUGUUUAAAGAUCAGAAUAAGAUGCACUUUUGCGAAUGAAAUAAAACACCACAGCAGUUCACAUUUGAACCAGCAAUAUUCUCUGAAGAUUUUACCUCCUAUUACGGUUUUCUUAAUUCAAAAAAAAUCAAAAUAACAAAGGUUGGGGGCCUGGACCAAAACUUAAGUUAAAAAGCUGUUGCUAGAAAUUAACAUAUUUUGACACAAGGGAGCCAUGAAUGUAUUCCUCAGUGGGCACUUUCACCAACUUUUACAGAGUUUCUGAAUUCUCUCUGAAGGCCUCACAAAUCCGAUCCAUUGACUCUGUAUGUUACUGCUGCUGCCACUGUGAAAACAGUCCCUAAUUGGAUGACGUGGAGACACCUUUGUUAAUCUGUUUCUUAAAACAGAGUUUAGUUGGUUAGGCAAGGCUAGUUACAGUACUUUGACACAGGGAACAGGUCUCAUAAACUCCCAAUAAUUACCGGGUAAUAAUUAGCUGAGCAAAGGAGGGGGGAAGGGUAUCAGAUUAAGUUUAAAAUGAAAAGUUACUAAUGCUGCAAUAACUAAAUGUUGCUGGUUUUAGUUUAAUUCCCAAGAGGAUAGCGACAAAUACUCUGAUUACAUUACAGUUAGCUUAAAUUGUACUUUCUAAGCCCAUUUAGUGAGACAUUUCUCUUGGCUUUUAGUGAGUGAUGUGUUACAACAAUUUGAUUUGAAUGAAUUUCCACAUAUUAAUCUCACAAUGACAAGUCGCCUCACUGAAAUUGUGGUUUUGUAAUCUCCGUGUUUCGCAUAUCCUCAACUUCAGACUAAGUGCUUCUUUCAUCAAAGGAAAUAAACUACAUCUCUCUUUCUAUAAUUGGCUCAGUGUAACUUUGUAUUGAAUAAAAGCACACGGGAAUGCUUCAAUUAAUUGGGUUAAAUUGUACAGUGAAAAACAUUGUAAUUCAAUUUAGUGGAAAAAAAUACAUCUCUCACUGGCCUUUCACCCUCUUGCUGACAUAAAGCCACGUUUAGCAUUAAAUGAACUGCUCAUGGAAAAUAGUUGCGUAAAUUUCCGCUUAAUUACCAUACUAUUAUAGUACAAUAUAUUUCACAGGUCAGUCACAUAAAACAACAUGGAAUGAUUGCUAUUCACUAAAAUUUCACAGGAGGAUCCAAAAUAUUCAUGCCGUGUAAUCAAAAUUAAUUUCAAAAAUAUGUAUUUAUAUUUGUAACUUUAUUGGAAACCACUCAUUAUUAAUAGUUAGCACAUGAGAUUCCACUAUGUUGCUAUAUGAAAUGAACUCAAGGAAAAUAAAUGGCCUAAUACUGAAUUUACUACAAUGUUAAGCUUUCACUUGUACCGGG